AAUUAAAAGUAGCCCAUAGGCUUAGUAGCCCAGUGAAUGAUUCGAACUAAAAAUAAUAUAGCCCAUAGGCGUAAUGGUCGAGUGAGUGCUUGCUAAAACUCGAAUUAAAAGUAGCAUGUAGGCUUAGUAGUCGAGUGAAUGAUUCGAACUCGAAAUAAUGUAGCCCGUAGGCGUAAUGGUCGAGUGAGUGCUUGCUAAAACUCGAAUUAAAAAUAGCCUGCAGGCUUAGUAGUUGAGUGAAUGAUUCGAACUCGAAAUAAUGUAGCCCGUAUGCGUAAUGGCGAGUGAGUGCUUGCUAGAAAUCGAAUUAAAAGUAGCCUGUAUGCUUAGUAGUCGAGUGAAUGAUUCGAACUCGAAAUAAUAAGCCCAUAGGCGUAAUGGUCGAGUGAGUGCUUGCUUGAACUCGAAUUAAAAGUAGCCUCUAGGCUUAGUAGUCGAGUGAAUGAUUCGAACUCGAAAUAAUGUAGCCCGUUGGCAUAAUGGUCGAAUGAGUGCUUGCUCGAACUCGAAUUAAAAGUAGCCCGUAGGCUUAGUAGUCGAGUGAAUGAUUUGAACUAGAAAUAAUGUAGCCCGUAGGCGUAAUGGCGAGUGAGUGCUUGCUAGAACUCAAACUAAAUGUAGCCCGUAGGCUUAGUAGUUGAUUGAAUGAUUCGAACACGAAAUAAUGUAGCCCGUAGGCGUAAUGGCGAGUGAGUGCUUGCUAGAACUCGAAUUAAAAGUAGCCCGUAGGCUUAGUAGUCGAGUGAAUGAUUAGAACUAAAAAUAAUAUAGCCCAUAGGCGUAAUGGUCGAGUGAGUGCUUGCUAAAACUCGAAUUAAAAGUAGCAUGUAGGCUUAGUAGUCGAGUGAAUGAUUCGAACUCAAAAUAAUGUAGCCCAUAUGCGUAAUG
rnacentral:lncRNA from 1 species